GAUGAACGCUGGCGGCGUGCCUAAUACAUGCAAGUCGAGCGAACAGACGAGGAGCUUGCUCCUCUGACGUUAGCGGCGGACGGGUGAGUAACACGUGGAUAACCUACCUAUAAGACUGGGAUAACUUCGGGAAGCCGGAGCUAAUACCGGAUAAUAUAUUGAACCGCAUGGUUCAAUAGUGAAAGACGGUUUUGCUGUCACUUAUAGAUGGAUCCGCGCCGCAUUAGCUAGUUGGUAAGGUAACGGCUUACCAAGGCGACGAUGCGUAGCCGACCUGAGAGGGUGAUCGGCCACACUGGAACUGAGACACGGUCCAGACUCCUACGGGAGGCACCAGUAGGGAAUCUUCCGCAAUGGGCGAAAGCCUGACGGAGCAACGCCGCGUGAGUGAUGAAGGUCUUCGGAUCGUAAAACUCUGUUAUUAGGGAAGAACAAAUGUGUAAGUAACUAUGCACGUCUUGACGGUACCUAAUCAGAAAGCCACGGCUAACUACGUG
rnacentral:rRNA from 1 species